rnacentral:tRNA from 1 species
GCCCUCGUGGCGGAACUUGAUAUACGCGCAUGGCUUAGGACCAUGUCCCGAAAGGGUUAGAGGUUUAAAUCCUCUCGAGGGCA